rnacentral:rRNA from 1 species
CCUACGGGAGGCAGCAGUGGGGAAUAUUGCGCAAUGGGCGAAAGCCUGACGCAGCGACGCCGCGUGAGGGAUGAAGGUCUUCGGAUCGUAAACCUCUGUCAGCAGGGAAGCACGGUCACUGUGCUAAUCAGCAGUGACUUGACGGUACCUGCAAAGGAAGCACCGGCUAACUCCGUGCCAGCAGCCGCGGUAAUACGGAGGGUGCGAGCGUUAAUCGGAAUUACUGGGGGGAAAGCGCAUGUAGGCGGUAUGUGAAGUCAAGGGUGAAAUCCCCGCGCGCAACGUGGGAAGUGCCUUUGAAACUGGCAAAAUGGAGUGUGUGAGAGGAUAGUGGAAUUCCAGGUGUAGGAGUGAAAUCCGUAGAUAUCUGGAGGAACAUCAGUGGCGAAGGCGACUAUCUGGCACAUAACUGACGCUGAGGAGCGAAAGCGUGGGUAGCAAACAGGAUUAGAUACCCUUGUAGUC